GACGAACGCUGGCGGCGUGCCUAAUACAUGCAAGUUGAGCGCUGAAGGUUGGUACUUGUACCAACUGGAUGAGCAGCGAACGGGUGAGUAACGCGUGGGGAAUCUGCCUUUGAGCGGGGGACAACAUUUGGAAACGAAUGCUAAUACCGCAUAAAAACUUUAAACACAAGUUUUAAGUUUGAAAGAUGCAAUUGCAUCACUCAAAGAUGAUCCCGCGUUGUAUUAGCUAGUUGGUGAGGUAAAGGCUCACCAAGGCGAUGAUACAUAGCCGACCUGUGAGGGUGAUCGGCCACAUUGGGACUGAGACACGGCCCAAACUCCUACGGGAGGCAGCAGUAGGGAAUCUUCGGCAAUGGACGAAAGUCUGACCGAGCAACGCCGCGUGAGUGAAGAAGGUUUUCGGAUCGUAAAACUCUGUUGGUAGAGAAGAACGUUGGUGAGAGUGGAAAGCUCAUCAAGUGACGGUAACUACCCAGAAAGGGACGGCUAACUACGUG
rnacentral:rRNA from 1 species